CGCGUAGGUGGUUUGUUAAGCGAGAUGUGAAAGCCCCGGGCUUAACCUGGGAACGGCAUUUCGAACUGGCAGACUAGAGUGUGGUAGAGGGUAGUGGAAUUUCCUGUGUAGCGGUGGAAUGCGCAGAUAUCGAGAGGAACACCAGUAGCGAAGGCGGCUCACUGGGCCGGUACCGACGCCGAGGAGCGAAAGCAUGGGGAGCAAACA
rnacentral:rRNA from 1 species